GACGAACCGAGCGAACGUUGUUCGGAAUCACUGGGCUUAAAGGGCGCGUAGGCGGGUUUUCAAGUCCGUGGUGAAAUACUCCAGCUCAACUGGAGAACUGCCUCGGAUACUGGGAAUCUCGAGGGUGGUAGGGGUAUGCGGAACUAUCGGUGGAGCGGUGAAAUGCGUUGAUAUCGAUAGGAACUCCGGUGGCGAAGGCGGCAUACUGGACCACUUCUGACGCUGAGGCGCGAAAGCCAGGGGAGCAAACGGG
rnacentral:rRNA from 1 species